GUGAACUCUUCUGUCCACAUGAGCCCCUGGCCUUGAGUGGGAUAGAUGGUGAGCCCCGAGGAAGAAUUGCUUUGGGCCUCCUUGCCCCAGGCCAGUGUCCAUCAGCCAGGUGCCCAGCCCCCGGUGCACUGACGCUCAGACCCUCCUGGUGUCCCAGUCUCCUGCACUGAGCUGUGUGAGCUCUUCUGCCCAGCAGACUCUUGGCAUUGACCAGCAUAGGGGUCUGGGAUGUGGAUGAGGACCCAGCAGAGAAAGCAUGUGGCCCUGGGCCCCAGACUGCGAUUUCUGAUGGUGACCCCAGAGGAAGACUUGCGUUGUGCCCACUGGACCCAGGCCAGUGGCCAGUAGCCAAACCCCUGUUGAGCUGAAGCUCAGGCCCUCCUGGGUCCUGGUCUCCUGCAUUGAGCUUGUGAGCUCUUCUGCCCAGCAGACGCCCUGGCAGUGACCAGCAUAGAUGGUGACCCCAGAGGAAGACUUGCAUUGUGCCCGCUGGCCCCGGGCCAGCGGCCGUGAGCCAGUUGCCCAACCCCUGUUGCGCUGAAGCUCAGGCCCUCCUGGGCCCUGGUCUCCUGCAUUGAGCUUGUGAGCUCUUCUGCCCAGCAGACUCUUGGCAUUGACCAGCAUAGAGAGGGGUGGGCAGUUGGGCCCAUGGGGUCAGGCUGUGGAAAUUCAAGGAUCACACCCCACUCAUGGCCCUCAAUGCGAAUGACCCUGUUGAGCAAUGGGCGACCCCAGUGGCGCUUCCUGGAACCUGGUGAGUGGCAGCUUGGCUUCAACUGGUUGGGUCAAAGCUGAGCCAUGGCUGGUGCUUCAUGGUGCUCCAGGCUGGCCCUGGGAUCAUGGGCUUUGGGUCAAGGGUGCAGCCCGCCUGCUGCUGGGGGUCACCCUUUCCUCGAGGUCAAGGGUGGGAUGGGUUGCGUCCAGAGGUUUGAAGGCCCCCUCGUAAGGGACCUGUCCCAGGAAUUUGUUGCCCAGGCUGCUUCUGAGCCAUGGGGUCACCUCCAGGGUGGCAGGGUCUUGGGCCCAAGGAAAGGAGGGGGCACCAUGUGGCUCCUGAUUGGCCAAGUGUGGUCCAGCUCUGUGUUUGACAGGGGUCUGGGAUGUGGAUGAGGACCCAGCAGAGAAAGCAUGUGGCCCUGGGCCCCAGGCUGCGAUUUCUGAUGGUGACCCCAGAGGAAGACUUGCGUUGUGCCCACUGGACCCAGGCCAGUGGCCAGUAGCCAAACCCCUGUUGAGCUGAAGCUCAGGCCCUCCUGGGUCCUGGUCUCCUGCAUUGAGCUUGUGAGCCCCUCUGCCCAGCAGACCCCCUGCAGUGACCAGCAUAGAUGGUGACCCCAGAGGAAGACUUGCGUUGUGCCCACUGGACCCAGGCCAGUGGCCAGUUGCCAAACCCCUGUUGAGCUGAAGUUCAGGCCCUCCUGGGUCCUGGUCUCCUGCAUUGAGCUUGUGAGCCCCUCUGCCCAGCAGACCCCCUGCAGUGACCAGCAUAGAUGGUGACCCCAGAGGAAGACUUGCGUUGUGCCCACUGGACCCAGGCCAGUGGCCAGUUGCCAAACCCCUGUUGAGCUGAAGUUCAGGCCCUCCUGGGUCCUGGUCUCCUGCAUUGAGCUUGUGAGCCCCUCUGCCCAGCAGACCCCUGCAGUGACCAGCAUAGAUGGUGACCCCAGAGGAAGACUUGCGUUGUGCCCACUGGACCCAGGCCAGUGGCCAGUUGCCAAACCCCUGUUGAGCUGAAGUUCAGGCCCUCCUGGGUCCUGGUCUCCUGCAUUGAGCUUGUGAGCCCCUCUGCCCAGCAGACCCCCUGCAGUGACCAGCAUAGAUGGUGACCCCAGAGGAAGACUUGCGUUGUGCCCACUGGACCCAGGCCAGUGGCCAGUUGCCAAACCCCUGUUGAGCUGAAGUUCAGGCCCUCCUGGGUCCUGGUCUCCUGCAUUGAGCUUGUGAGCCCCUCUGCCCAGCAGACCCCCUGCAGUGACCAGCAUAGAUGGUGACCCCAGAGGAAGACUUGCGUUGUGCCCACUGGACCCAGGCCAGUAGCCAGUUGCCAAACCCCUGCUGAGCUGAAGCUCAGGCCCUCCUGGGUCCUGGUCUCCUGCAUUGAGCUUGUGAGCCCCUCUGCCCAGCAGACCCCCUGCAGUGACCAGCAUAGAUGGUGACCCCAGAGGAAGACUUGCGUUGUGCCCACUGGACCCAGGCCAGUGGCCAGUUGCCAAACCCCUGUUGAGCUGAAGUUCAGGCCCUCCUGGGUCCUGGUCUCCUGCAUUGAGCUUGUGAGCCCCUCUGCCCAGCAGACCCCCUGCAGUGACCAGCAUAGAUGGUGACCCCAGAGGAAGACUUGCGUUGUGCCCACUGGACCCAGGCCAGUAGCCAGUUGCCAAACCCCUGCUGAGCUGAAGCUCAGGCCCUCCUGGGUCCUGGUCUCCUGCAUUGAGCUUGUGAGCCCUUCUGCCCAGCACACCCCCUGGCAGUGACCAGCAUAGAUGGUGACCCCAGAGGAAGACUUGCGUUGUGCCCACUGGACCCAGGCCAGUGGCCAGUUGCCAAACCCCCGUUGAGCUGAAGCUCAGGCCCUCCUGGGUCCUGGUCUCCUGCAUUGAGCUUGUGAGCCCUUCUGCCCAGCAGACCCCCUGGCAGUGACCAGCAUAGAUGGUGACCCCAGAGGAAGACUUGCAUUGUGCCCGCUGGCCCCAGGCCAGCGGCCGUGAGCCAGUUGCCCAACCCCUGUUGCGCUGAAGCUCAGGCCCUCCUGGGCCCUGGUCUCCUGCAUUGAGCUUGUGAGCUCUUCUGCCCAGCAGACCCCCUGGCAUUGACCAGCAUAGUGAGCUCUUCUGCCCAGGGUUCAGUGGCCAAGGGUUCCUUGCGUUUGUGACCAUCAUGGUUUUACAUGGAUCUCAUCUCAUGAGUCCAUGGAGGAAGAGCAUGUGUGAGCCAGCCCCACCCUGCCCACUUUCCUGCAUGGAGACAUGAGGCUCUGUUUGGACACCUGUCCCCCACCCCUCCAGAUGGUGACCCCAGAGGAAGACUUACAUUGGGCCUGCUGGCUCUGGCCCAGUGUCUCUCAGCCAGGUGCUCAGCCCCUGGUGAGCUGAAGCUCAGGCCCUUCCUGGCACCCUGGUCUGCUGCACUGAGCUGCGGGUUCAGUGUUGAGAGAGCAUUGGGUGCCCUGUGUCCGAGACGAGCCAGUGGUCUGCAUGGAUCCCAUCACAUGGGUCCAUGGAGGAUGUUGAGGCUGGAGGAAGACUUGAAUUGGGCCCAAUGGCCCCAGGCCAUUGUCCAUCAGCUAGGUGUCCAGCCCCUGGUGCACUGAACAUUCAACACUUCCUGGCACCCUGGUGUCCUGCACUGAGCUGUGUGAGUUCUUCCACCCAGGCGGGCACCCUGGCAUUGACCAGCAUAGAUGGUGACCAGAGAGGAAGACUUGCAUUGCGCCUGCUAGCCCCAGGCCAGUGGCCAUCAGCCAGGUGCCCAGCCCCUGGUGAGCUGAAGCUUGCGCCCUACUGGGCCCUGGUCUCCUGCAUUGAACUUGGUGAGCACAUUAGGGUCCCACUGGAUGCAUGUGUUGGGAGGGGGUGCCCUGGGUUGGGUCGAUGAUGAGAACCUUAUAUUGUCUGAAGAGAGGUGAUGACUUAAAAAUCAUGCUCAAUAGGAUUACGCUGAGGCCCAGCCUGGGUGAGAAUUUUGGAGGAUUCUGGGAAUUACAAGUUCCCCGGCAGGAGCACUGUAUUUUGGGCUGGAGACCUGGAGGCUCUGAGGUCAUCUAGAGAGUGCCCAACCCUGUCUCUGCGCUCCUCCGUGAGGCAGCCAGGCUCACUAUGUGGGCUUGGUGUCGGCCCUCCCCUUACCUGGGGGCAGGGUACUUUGGUGGCUC